UCCGGCUUCUCGCCGGCAGUCCUCUUCGAGUGCCCGGCAUAACCCGCUGGCAACACGGGGCGGGGGUUGCGCUCGUUGCGGGACUUAACCCAACAUCUCACGACACGAGCUGACGACAGCCAUGCAGCACCUGUCUCACGGUUCCCGAAGGCACCAAUCCAUCUCUGGAAAGUUCCGUGGAUGUCAAGGCCAGGUAAGGUUCUUCGCGUUGCAUCGAAUUAAACCACAUACUCCACCGCUUGUGCGGGCCCCCGUCAAUUCCUUUGAGUUUCAGUCUUGCGACCGUACUCCCCAGGCGGCGAACUUAACGCGUUAGCUUCGAUACUGAGAGCCAAAUUGCUCCCAACAUCCAGUUCGCAUCGUUUAGGGCGUGGACUAC
rnacentral:misc_RNA from 1 species